rnacentral:ncRNA from 1 species
GAUGGAAAAAUGUAGGCAAGGGAAGUAGGCACGGGGGUCCCACUCCUUAACUCGUCGGCAGUCGGUGGACUGCUCGAGCUGCUCCUAUAGCGAGAACGGGUCGCCACUUGGUGGCUGGGGGACGAACUGGGAAUGGUUCCUUCGGGUGCCUUCCAAGGGCAUCGAAAAUCCAACUGAAUACUAGUAAGUACAAGGGGAAUUCUACUGUUUAACUAAAUCAAAGCAUUGGGAUUGUCCCAAUGGAUGUUUACUUAAUGUGAUUUUUGCCCAGUCUUUGAAUGUUUAAGUGAAGAAAUUCAACCAAGCACGGGUAAAUGGUGAGAGUAAAUUUGUUUGUCUUAAGGUAUCCAAAUGCCUCGUUAUCUAAUUAGUGACGCAAAUGAAUGGAUUAACGAGAUUCCCAUUGUUCCUGUCUACUAUGCAGCAAAACCACAGCCAAGGGAACGAUCUUGGCCGAAUCAGCGGAGAAAGAUGACCCAGUUGAGAAUAAUUAUACUCCAACUUUGUGAAAUGACAUGAGAGGUGUAGUAUAAGUGGGAGCUAAAAGGCAAAAGUGAAAUACCGCUACUUUUACAUUAUUUUACUUCUUCCGUGAAUCAGAAGUGGGGCACUUUCCCUCUUUUUGGACCCAAGGCUCCCUUUGUGGGCCAAUCUGGGCGGAAGACAUUGUCAGGUGAGGAGUUUGGCUGUGGCGGCACAUCUUGUUUAAGAUAACGCAAGUUUUCUAAGAUGAGAUCAACGAGAACAAAGAUCUCGUGUGGGACAGAAGGUUAAAAUCUUAUUUGAUUUUGAUUUCCAGUAUGAAUAAUAACCGUGAAAGCAAGGCCUAACGAUCCUUUAGACCGUUGGAAUUUGAUUCUAGCGCGGGGAUAACUGUCCUGUGGCAGCAAAGCAUUCAUAGCGAUGUUGCUUUUUGAUCCUUCGAUGUCCGUUCUUCCAAUCAUUGUGAACCAAAAUUCAGCAAGUGUUGGAUUGUUCACCCACUUAUAGGAUACGUGAGCUGGGUUUAGACCAUCUUGACACAGGUUAGUUUACCCUACUAAUGAUAUUGUCGAAAUAGUAAGUCAACCUAGUAUGAGAGGAAUUGUUGAAUCACAAAAUUGGCUAUUUCUCAUGGUUGAAAAGACAAUGGCGCGAAGCUACCAUGUGGUGGAUUAUAAGUGAGUGACUUUAAGUAAUAAUUUGAACUCAAAAGUGAACCAUGCCCCCCCCUGUACGCUUGCCUAACCGCAGUGGGGGCCUCUAACCCCCAAGGGUUCGUGUCAUUAGCAAAGUCUCCGUGACGGAAGCGACGCGGUGACUAUGUUGAAGUACAAUUUCCAUCGAGCGGUAGGUAGAGUCCUUUUUAGAUGACUUAAGUACGCAACUUGGUAUUGUAACUGGCAGAGUGGACUUGGUACCACGGUCCACUAAGAUUCAUCCCUUUGUCGCUACGAUUC